GAUGAACGCUGGCGGCGUGCCUAAUACAUGCAAGUCGAGCGAACAGACGAGGAGCUUGCUCCUCUGACGUUAGCGGCGGACGGGUGAGUAACACGUGGAUAACCUACCUAUAAGACUGGGAUAACUUCGGGAAACCGGAGCUAAUACCGGAUAAUAUAUUGAACCGCGUGGUUCAAUAGUGAAAGACGGUUUUGCUGUCACUUAUAGAUGGAUCCGCGCCGCAGUAGCUAGUUGGUAAGGUAACGGCUUACCAAGGCGACGAUGCGUAGCCGACCUGAGAGGGUGAUCGGCCACACUGGAACUGAGACACGGUCCAGACUCCUACGGGAGGCAGCAGUAGGGAAUCUUCCGCAAUGGGCGAAAGCCUGACGGAGCAACGCCGCGUGAGUGAUGAAGGUCUUCGGAUCGUAAAACUCUGUUAUUAGGGAAGAACAAAUGUGUAAGUAACUAUGCACGUCUUGACGGUACCUAAUCAGAAAGCCACGGCUAACUACGUG
rnacentral:rRNA from 1 species